rnacentral:lncRNA from 1 species
CACAAAAUGGCUGCCUGCGAGGAGACCAUCCACGCACAAGGUGGUUCUAAUAGGAGUCUGGAAUUUUCUGCUGGUCUCUUUUUUACGAACUGGGCCUCUCCUGAUUAAUUGAGAAGAGUGAACAAGAAGAUUAAACAUAUAUACUUGAAGACUGAGGUGGGAACCAGCCAGUCCCAGACCAGAGAUGCCUGUUAUGUAAACCCCAAACAACCACACAAUUGCAAGGAAAGUCAAGAAAAGAAGCCAGGAGUUUAGCAAUUAACUGGCUUCAUUCUUGUUUGCAAUAAAGAUUCUAAUCCAGUCA